GGCUCAUUGGUCUCGUGGUAUAAUUCUCGCUUUGGGUGUGAGAGGUCCCAGGUUCAAAUCCUGGAUGAGCCC
rnacentral:tRNA from 1 species